UACGGGGGGGGCAAGCGUUGUUCGGAAUUACUGGGCGUAAAGGGCUCGUAGGCGGCCAACUAAGUCAGAUGUGAAAUCCCCAGGCUUAACCUGGGAACUGCAUCUGAUACUGGAUGGCUUGAAUCCGGGAGAGGGAUGCAGAAUUCCAGGUGUAGCGGUGAAAUGCGUAGAUAUCUGGAGGAAUACCGGUGGCGAAGGCGGCAUCCUGGACCGGCAUUGACGCUGAGGAGCGAAAGCUAGGGGAGCAAACGGGG
rnacentral:rRNA from 1 species